AUGCAGUCAAGGAGAAGUCUUUUCGGAGAUGAUUAAACUGGCGCACGGGUGAGUAACGCGUGAGGAACCUGCCCAUAUGUUUGGGAUAACCUGCUGAAAGGCGGGCUAAUACUGGAUAUAUUAGUUACUGCAUGGUAACUAAGGAAAGUUGGUGUAAGCUAACGCAUAUGGAUGGUCUCGCGUCUGAUUAGCUAGUUGGUGGGGUAAAGGCUCACCAAGGCUACGAUCAGUAGCCGGU
rnacentral:rRNA from 1 species